UGAACCUGCGGAGGGAUCAUUACCGAGUUUUCAACUCCCAAACCCUUAUGUGAACCUACCUAUCGUUGCUUCGGCGGACUCGCCCCAGCCGGACGCGGACUGGACCAGCGGCCGCCGGGGACCAUCAAACUCUUGUAUUAUCAGCAUCUUCUGAAUACGCCGCAAGGCAAAACAAAUAAAUUAAAACUUUCAACAACGGAUCUCUUGGCUCUGGCAUCGAUGAAGAACGCAGCGAAAUGCGAUAAGUAAUGUGAAUUGCAGAAUCCAGUGAAUCAUCGAAUCUUUGAACGCACAUUGCGCCCGCCAGCAUUCUGGCGGGCAUGCCUGUUCGAGCGUCAUUUCAACCCUCGACCUCCCUUUGGGGAAGUCGGCGUUGGGGACCGGCAGCACACCGCCGGCCCUGAAAUGGAGUGGCGGCCCGUCCGCGGCGACCUCUGCGUAGUAAACCAACUCGCACCGGAACCCCGACGUGGCCACGCCGUAAAACACCCAACUUCUGAACGUUGACCUCGAAUCAGGUAGGACUACCCGCUGAACUUAAGCAUAUCAAUAAGCGGAGGAA
rnacentral:rRNA from 1 species